AGACCCGAAACCCGGUGAUCUAGCCAUGGGCAGGUUGAAGGUUGGGUAACACUAACUGGAGGACCGAACCGACUAAUGUUGAAAAAUUAGCGGAUGACCUGUGGCUGGGGGUGAAAGGCCAAUCAAACCGGGAGAUAGCUGGUUCUCCCCGAAAGCUAUUUAGGUAGCGCCUCGUGAAUUCAUCUCCGGGGGUAGAGCACUGUUUCGGCUAGGGGGCCAUCCCGGCUUACCAACCCGAUGCAAACUGCGAAUACCGGAGAAUGUUAUCACGGGAGACACACGGCGGGUGCUAACGUCCGUCGUGAAGAGGGAAACAACCCAGACCGCCAGCUAAGGUCCCAAAGUCAUGGUUAAGUGGGAAACGAUGUGGGAAGGCCCAGACAGCCAGGAUGUUGGCUUAGAAGCAGCCAUCAUUUAAAGAAAGCGUAAUAGCUCACUGGUCGAGUCGGCCUGCGCGGAAGAUGUAACGGGGCUAAACCAUGCACCGAAGCUGCGGCAGCGACGCUGAUGCGUUGUUGGGUAGGGGAGCGUUCUGUAAGCCUGCGAAGGUGGCCUGUGAGGGUUGCUGGAGGUAUCAGAAGUGCGAAUGCUGACAUAAGUAACGAUAAAGCGGGUGAAAAGCCCGCUCGCCGGAAGACCAAGGGUUCCUGUCCAACGUUAAUCGGGGCAGGGUGAGUCGACCCCUAAGGCGAGGCCGAAAGGCGUAGUCGAUGGGAAACGGGUUAAUAUUCCCGUACUUGGUGUUACUGCGAAGGGGGGACGGAGAAGGCUAUGUUGGCCGGGCGACGGUUGUCCCGGUUUAAGCGUGUAGGUGUGUGUUCCAGGUAAAUCCGGUUCACUUUAACACUGAGGCGUGAUGACGAGGCACUACGGUGCUGAAGCAACAAAUGCCCUGCUUCCAGGAAAAGCCUCUAAGCAUCAGGUAACAUCAAAUCGUACCCCAAACCGACACAGGUGGUCAGGUAGAGAAUACCAAGGCGCUUGAGAGAACUCGGGUGAAGGAACUAGGCAAAAUGGUGCCGUAACUUCGGGAGAAGGCACGCUGACACGUAGGUGAAGUGAUUUACUCAUGGAGCUGAAGUCAGUCGAAGAUACCAGCUGGCUGCAACUGUUUAUUAAAAACACAGCACUGUGCAAACACGAAAGUGGACGUAUACGGUGUGACGCCUGCCCGGUGCCGGAAGGUUAAUUGAUGGGGUCAGCGCAAGCGAAGCUCCUGAUCGAAGCCCCGGUAAACGGCGGCCGUAACUAUAACGGUCCUAAGGUAGCGAAAUUCCUUGUCGGGUAAGUUCCGACCUGCACGAAUGGCGUAAUGAUGGCCAGGCUGUCUCCACCCGAGACUCAGUGAAAUUGAACUCGCUGUGAAGAUGCAGUGUACCCGCGGCAAGACGGAAAGACCCCGUGAACCUUUACUAUAGCUUGACACUGAACAUUGAGCCUUGAUGUGUAGGAUAGGUGGGAGGCUUUGAAGUGUGGACGCCAGUCUGCAUGGAGCCGACCUUGAAAUACCACCCUUUAAUGUUUGAUGUUCUAACGUGGACCCGUGAUCCGGGUUGCGGACAGUGUCUGGUGGGUAGUUUGACUGGGGCGGUCUCCUCCUAAAGAGUAACGGAGGAGCACGAAGGUUGGCUAAUCCUGGUCGGACAUCAGGAGGUUAGUGCAAUGGCAUAAGCCAGCUUGACUGCGAGCGUGACGGCGCGAGCAGGUGCGAAAGCAGGUCAUAGUGAUCCGGUGGUUCUGAAUGGAAGGGCCAUCGCUCAACGGAUAAAAGGUACUCCGGGGAUAACAGGCUGAUACCGCCCAAGAGUUCAUAUCGACGGCGGUGUUUGGCACCUCGAUGUCGGCUCAUCACAUCCUGGGGCUGAAGUAGGUCCCAAGGGUAUGGCUGUUCGCCAUUUAAAGUGGUACGCGAGCUGGGUUUAGAACGUCGUGAGACAGUUCGGUCCCUAUCUGCCGUGGGCGCUGGAGAACUGAGGGGGGCUGCUCCUAGUACGAGAGGACCGGAGUGGACGCAUCACUGGUGUUCGGGUUGUCAUGCCAAUGGCACUGCCCGGUAGCUAAAUGCGGAAGAGAUAAGUGCUGAAAGCAUCUAAGCACGAAACUUGCCCCGAGAUGAGUUCUCCCUGAGACUUUAGGUCUCCUGAAGGAACGUUGAAGACGACGACGUUGAUAGGCCGGGUGUGUAAGCGCAGCGAUGCGUUGAGCUAACCGGUACUAAUGAACCGUGAGGCUUAACCUUACA
rnacentral:rRNA from 4 species